rnacentral:rRNA from 1 species
CGCCCUUAGAGUUUGAUCCUGGCUCAGGACGAACGCUGGCGGCGUGCCUAAUACAUGCAAGUCGAACGAAGCUUUCUUUCACCGAAUGCUUGCAUUCACCGAAAGAAGCUUAGUGGCGAACGGGUGAGUAACACGUAGGCAACCUGCCCAAAAGAGGGGGAUAACACUUGGAAACAGGUGCUAAUACCGCAUAACCAUGAACACCGCAUGAUGUUCAUGUAAAAGACGGCUUUUGCUGUCACUUUUGGAUGGGCCUGCGGCGUAUUAACUUGUUGGUGGGGUAACGGCCUACCAAGGUGAUGAUACGUAGCCGAACUGAGAGGUUGAUCGGCCACAUUGGGACUGAGACACGGCCCAAACUCCUACGGGAGGCAGCAGUAGGGAAUCUUCCACAAUGGACGAAAGUCUGAUGGAGCAACGCCGCGUGAAUGAAGAAGGCCUUCGGGUCGUAAAAUUCUGUUGCCAGAGAAGAACGUGCGUGAGAGUAACUGUUCACGUAUUGACGGUAUCUGACCAGAAAGCCACGGCUAACUACGUGCCAGCAGCCGCGGUAAUACGUAGGUGGCGAGCGUUGUCCGGAUUUAUUGGGCGUAAAGGGAACGCAGGCGGUCUUUUAAGUCUGAUGUGAAAGCCUUCGGCUUAACCGAAGUAGUGCAUUGGAAACUGGAAGACUUGAGUGCAGAAGAGGAGAGUGGAACUCCAUGUGUAGCGGUGAAAUGCGUAGAUAUAUGGAAGAACACCAGUGGCGAAAGCGGCUCUCUGGUCUGUAACUGACGCUGAGGUUCGAAAGCGUGGGUAGCAAACAGGAUUAGAUACCCUGGUAGUCCACGCCGUAAACGAUGAGUGCUAAGUGUUGGAGGGUUUCCGCCCUUCAGUGCUGCAGCUAACGCAUUAAGCACUCCGCCUGGGGAGUACGGUCGCAAGAC